rnacentral:rRNA from 1 species
CGGGAUUGGAGCGUUCCAGGAGGUUGGCCCCUUCCGUGUCGACACGGAAGGCAGGACCCUCUGCCCGAACCCCUACUCCUGGACCGCCGCGGCGAACCUGCUGUUCCUGGAGAGCCCCGUGGGCGUGGGCUUCUCCUACGCCGUGAACGAGGAGGUGUAGACCGCCAUCGACUCGCACGUCUUCCUGCUCAGGUGGUUCGACCGCUUCCCCGAGUACAAGGGCCGCGAGUUCUUCAUCGUCGGCGAGAGCUACGCCGGCCACUACAUCCCCGAGCUGGCCGUCACCAUCGACGUCCAGAACAAGAACCCCAAGCUCACCCCCAUCAAUCUCAAAGGAAUCUCCAUUGGGAACGGCAUACUGGAGUUCGCGGAGGAGCAGGCGGAGCUGUACGAGUACCUGUGGCACCGCGCCUUCAUAUCGGACGCGGCGCACGACACCAUCGCCAAGCACUGCAAGGGCCCCGACGACCUCUCCACCGUCUGCCAGGCGGCCAGGGACACCGCCUACAGCAACACCGGCGACAUCAGCGCCUUCAACGUCUACGCGCCCACUUGCCACGACAAGAAAGUCAGGCCAACAGACUCCAAGUGCACGGACAUUGCUGGUCCAUGCCUCGCACACUUUGUGGAGGCGUACUUGAACCAGCGCCAGGUGCAAACGGCGAUCCACGCCAACACGGCGCUCAAGUAUCCGUGGGUCGGGUGCAGAACCCGGACGUACAACCUGAAACGCUUCGGGGACUCGCCGACGUCGAUGCUGCCACACCUCAAGGCCCUGGUCACCACCGGCAUCCGCAUCUGGCUAUUCAGCGGCGACUUCGACGCGAUGGUGCCGGUGACGGCGACGAGGCGGUCGGUGGAGAAGCUGCAGCUGGGCGUGGAGAAGGACUGGCGGGCGUGGUCGCCGGGGCCGGGCAAGGACGUGGCCGGGUACGUGAUCGCGUACAAGGGGCUGGUGCUGGCCACGGUGCGCGGCGCCGGCCACAUGGUCACCGUCGACCAGCCGGAGCGGGGGUUCGCGCUCUUCACGUCCUUCCUCCGAGGCGAGCCGCUGCCGUCCGCGGCGCCGCAGACCGACUGA